rnacentral:hammerhead_ribozyme from 1 species
AUCCAGAUGGUGAGCCCCAAAUAGGACGAAAUGCGCAUCCUAGAU